GGCCGAACGAUUGGGACAUGGGGGACAAUGGGAACUUGGUGGACAGGACGGAGAAAAGGUGUUCCUGGAACUGGGGAUGCCAAGCCAUGUCAGACCCUGUAUCACAAAAGCCAAAGCUGAAGUACAGUGAUCCUGAAGUUCUCUGAAUCAUAAGCAAAUGGGAAUCCUAAACCCAAGGCCUCUUUCCAAUCUAUACCAGGUAAGCCCCAUUGCUCCCAUACUGAGACUCUGAACAUCACAAUGAGGGGAGAGGCAGAUUAGUUGUAUUCUGAGUGCUUAAGAUGUACAGCCCAUAUCAGGUGGUUCUGCAUAACCUAUAAUUUUUAUUCCUUCUGAGGAACACUUACUAUAUGCUAGACACUGUUCUAGGUGAUGGAGAUACAGCAGUAAACCAGACAAGAAAACCUCUGGCCUCAUUACAUUCUUGUGGUUGCAGGGUAGAGAGGGGUUACAAUGGACAGGAACACAGACAAAAAAUAGUGUGCUAGAAGGUAAAAGUACAAUAAAUAAAGGCAAGGAGAAAGUCAUGUCUGUCAGGGGACACAACUGUAUAUAGGGUGUUCAGGGAAGACCUGAGAGGUUGACAUUUGAUCCAAAACAUGAAGGCUCCACUUUAACUCAGGUCCACUUACUAGUUUCAAUUACGUUAUACUUUAAAAACCUAAGUUUCUGUUUAUGUAAAAUGCAGUUAUUUAUCCCAUCUACCUCACAGGGUUGUUGCCAAGAGCUAUUUGCAUAGCAAAAGUGUGUGAAAGUCAAUCAUGUCAAUGAAUAUUAGAUAACUACAUCAUAUUGUAGAGAGAAAUCCAGUGAAGGGGGCUUAGCAGACUAGUCCUGAGCUCUCUGAUUAGGCUGAGGGCUACUAAAGAUAGAAUGCAUUCAUACAAGGGUACAGGGUACUUACUGGUCUCAGUGUCUUCUGAAAGUGUCAGCAUAUAAAACCAGCUGAAGCAAGACACUGAGACAUGGAUAUUUUAAGAAUCACAUCAAAACACAAAUACUUCUUAAUUACCAAGUAUUGUAUGGGAAGGACUAAACUGUCCUUAAAGGCUAGACACUUCUGGGAGUAUAAAAGGGGUAUUAAUGGGACAGGGCACACAAAGGGCUUCUGGGUAGCUAACAAAGGAGUUUGCCUUAUACAUUUGUUUAAUGUGGUUUUUUGUUUUAUUUUCCAAUAAAAAAGAACAGUAUUGCUACCCCUGCCCCCAA